UACGGAGGGUGCGAGCGUUGUCCGGAAUCACUGGGCGUAAAGGGCGCGUAGGCGGCGCGGGGAGUCAACGGUGAAAGCUCGGCGCUCAACGCCGAGUCGGCCGUCGAUACUCCCGUGCUCGAGCACUGUAGAGGCAGGUGGAAUUCCGGGUGUAGCGGUGGAAUGCGUAGAGAUCCGGAAGAACAACCGGUGGCGAAGGCGGCCUGA
rnacentral:rRNA from 1 species